GACGAACGCUGGCGGCGUGCUUAACACAUGCAAGUCGAACGGAAAGGCCCUGCUUUUGUGGGGUGCUCGAGUGGCGAACGGGUGAGUAACACGUGAGUAACCUGCCCUUGACUUUGGGAUAACUUCAGGAAACUGGGGCUAAUACCGGAUAGGAGCUCCUGCUGCAUGGUGGGGGUUGGAAAGUUUCGGCGGUUGGGGAUGGACUCGCGGCUUAUCAGCUUGUUGGUGGGGUAGUGGCUUACCAAGGCUUUGACGGGUAGCCGGCCUGAGAGGGUGACCGGCCACAUUGGGACUGAGAUACGGCCCAGACUCCUACGGGAGGCAGCAGUGGGGAAUAUUGCACAAUGGGCGGAAGCCUGAUGCAGCAACGCCGUGUGCGGGAUGACGGCCUUCGGGUUGUAAACCGCUUUCGCCUGUGACGAAGCGUGAGUGACGGUAAUGGGUAGAGAAGCACCGGCUAACUACGUG
rnacentral:rRNA from 1 species